rnacentral:snoRNA from 1 species
GUGCACUGAUAAAUAUCUUCUGGUCCUUUCCUUGACUUUGGAGUUUUAUUCCAGUGCAAGAAUAAAAUUCCUUCUUGCAGAAAGAUCAGGUUGUACUGUAGCCUGACCUUUCCGAAAGUUGGAUACAUUU